rnacentral:rRNA from 1 species
UACGAAGGGUGCAAGCGUUAAUCGGAAUUAUUGGGCGUAAAGCGCGCGCAGGCGGUCUCUUAAGUCUGAUGUGAAAUCCCGUGGCUUAACCACGGGCGGUCAUUGGAAACUGGGGGACUUGAGUGCAGAAGAGAAGAGCGGAAUUCCACGUGUAGCGGUGAAAUGCGUAGAGAUGUGGAGGAACACCAGUGGCGAAGGCGGCUCUUUGGUCUGUAACUGACGCUGAGGCGCGAAAGCGUGGGGAGCGAACAGG